UACGGAGGGGGCUAGCGUUGUUCGGAAUUAUUGGGCGUAAAGCGCACGUAGGCGGCUUUGUACGUCAGCGGUGAAAGCCCGGGGCUCAACCCCGGAAUUGCCUUUGAGACUGCAUCGCUAGAAUUGUGGAGAGGUAAGUGGAAUUCCGAGUGUAGAGGUGAAAUUCGUAGAUAUUCGGAAGAACACCAGUGGCGAAGGCGACUUACUGGACACAAAUUGACGCUGAGGAGCGAAAGCGUGGGGAGCAAACAGG
rnacentral:rRNA from 1 species